UUUUAAUUUUGAAACUUUUAGUAGAAAUUGUAGAUGCUUGAAAAGUAAAAUUUUGGAAGGAAAAGUAGAGAGAGUUAGAAAAAUUCUAAAGUAAGAGGAGAUACCUUGAGAGAAAAAUUUGGUAGUAGUAGAAGGCUUGAAACUUAAAGAAUUUGGCGGUGUUUUAAUCUUAUCAGAGGAACUUGUAUUAUUCGAAAUUUCUCGUUUAAUUUUACUUUGGUUCUUGUUUGUAUAUCGUCGUAAAAAUAAGACUUUAAAGUGUAUAUUGAAAGAAUUUCUUAUUUCAGAUCUAGGUUCAGCAAUAUCUUUGCAUAUGAGUUUCAAUAUAUUGGAUAAUAUAUUUACGGAAAAGGGGUUGAAGAUCUUUUUAGAAGGUGGAUUUGAAAGUAGGUUAAA
rnacentral:rRNA from 1 species